UAAUGUAGGGCCUGAGAGGAACACACAGGGAAGAUGGAGGGAAAGAGUUGAGGGGGCUGUUCUUUCCCUCUCUUCCUUCUUUUGGGGGAACAUAACCAAGUCUUGCCUCCCUGAGAGGGAGUAUGUCUCCUCAGAGAAUGCUUCCAGGAGAUGGUGGACAAGAACUAGAGGGAAAACUUUGGGUUCAAUAUGGGUGUAUGGCGUUUGAGUGACAAAGCAGAGUUCAUUUUAGAGAGAUACGUUUUGAAAGGCAGGAAUGAAAGUAUUACAAAUCCCUUGAUCUUCUGAAGCAACAGAAUCUAGCUGGCUGUUAUGAAAAUCAGAGAUUUCAUUUUCCUUAAUUGAAGACAGGCCCUCAUUUCAUCACAAAAUGGAGUCAGGUGUCCUAGAAGUUCCAGCCAAAAACAGAGUCCUUCUUCCAGUAAUUUAUGUUCCUGAGUGGAGGAAGCCCUGGACUCCAGUUUUCAAGUUAGUUUUCUAUUUCAAGUUUGUCCAAUCUAUUUUGCAGAUCCAUUUUUCUGUUUUUAAAUUAUUAUUAAAUAUUUUGGAUGACUUCUAUUUUGUAAUAGUUUGACAUUUGGUAACUUUCCUUUAAAUUUUCUUAAUAUUGUUUCUUUUGCGAUUCUAUAAUUGUUUUUUCUCAACGAAUUUUGUUAUUUUUCUCAUUCAGUGAAGUAUCUCUUUAAUAAUGUGACUGGCUGGCAUAGCUCUAACUUUGUUAGUUCAUCUAGAUUAAAUUAUCCUUUUUAUCAUAUUGCCAUAGACCAUUUUCAUGGAUAGAAAAUACUACUACAAUCGUCUCCUUUAUUUCUGUAAAGGGAGGUAUGCAGUUCCAUAUUUAUUAAACCUUUGUUCCUAUCUGUGGGAAUUUACUAUUCAGAAGAACCCCCAUGCUUUUGAUGUUGCAAUCAACCUCAUCUUCUAAUUAAAUUAAAAAUAAGGCCUGAGGCUUAAAUGUAUAAGGGGGAUGCCUAUGCAUUCUGGGAGGGCCAGAGGUUUUCUUGUGGGUCCCUGGGACCUGUGAGAAGCUUGCCUCUCAUCCCAGGUGACUCUGGGCAGCAGGAAGACCACAGCCUUGGAUCCAGACUGAGGUCAAGUCCAGCCAAUCAGAGAGAUUCAGCAAAGUGACUUCAUGAAAGAUGUUUCAGGCUGGGAGAAGGAAGGACUUUUUUUAGGCAGAAUCACAAGAGGAAAGCACCAUUGGGUGAGUGCUGGCAUAGCUAAAGCCUGGCUGAGAAGCUGGUGCUCCCAGAGGAGAGAGAGGACUUGCAAAGGGAACAGCUGACCAUGUAUGGCUGGUGCCUUUUCUUUGUCUGACCCAUUUUUAAUUAUUUAAUAAAUAAUUAUAAAUUGAGAUACAGUCUC